AUUGAGCGCUGGCGGCAUGCCUUACACAUGCAAGUCGAACGGCAGCACGGACUUCGGUCUGGUGGCGAGUGGCGAACGGGUGAGUAAUAUAUCGGAACAUACCUUGUAGUGGGGGAUAACUAUCCGAAAGGAUAGCUAAUACCGCGUACGCUCUAAGGAGGAAAGCGGGGGAUCGUAAGACCUCGUGCUAUAAGAGUGGCCGAUAUCUGAUUAGCUAGUUGGUGAGGUAAAGGCUCACCAAGGCGACGAUCAGUAGCUGGUCUGAGAGGACGACCAGCCACACUGGAACUGAGACACGGUCCAGACUCCUACGGGAGGCAGCAGUGGGGAAUUUUGGACAAUGGGGGCAACCCUGAUCCAGCAAUGCCGCGUGAGUGAAGAAGGCCUUCGGGUUGUAAAGCUCUUUUGUCAGGGAAGAAACGGUUGUGGCUAAUAUCCAUGGCUAAUGACGGUCCUGAAGAAUAAGCACCGGCUAACUACGUGCCAGCCGCCGCCGUAAAAC
rnacentral:rRNA from 1 species